GACGAACGCUGGCGGCGUGCUUAACACAUGCAAGUCGAACGGAAAGGCCCUGCUUUUGUGGGGUGCUCGAGUGGCGAACGGGUGAGUAACACGUGAGUAACCUGCCCUUGACUUUGGGAUAACUCCAGGAAACUGGGGCUAAUACCGGAUAGGAGCUCCUGCUGCAUGGUGGGGGUUGGAAAGUUUCGGCGGUUGGGGAUGGACUCGCGGCUUAUCAGCUUGUUGGUGGGGUAGUGGCUUACCAAGGCUUUGACGGGUAGCCGGCCUGAGAGGGUGACCGGCCACAUUGGGACUGAGAUACGGCCCAGACUCCUACGGGAGGCAGCAGUGGGGAAUAUUGCACAAUGGGCGGAAGCCUGAUGCAGCAACGCCGCGUGCGGGAUGACGGCCUUCGGGUUGUAAACCGCUUUCGCCUGUGACGAAGCGUGAGUGACGGUAAUGGGUAAAGAAGCACCGGCUAACUACGUGCCAGCAGCCGCGGUGAUACGUAGGGUGCGAGCGUUGUCCGGAUUUAUUGGGCGUAAAGGGCUCGUAGGUGGUUGAUCGCGUCGGAAGUGUAAUCUUGGGGCUUAACCCUGAGCGUGCUUUCGAUACGGGUUGACUUGAGGAAGGUAGGGGAGAAUGGAAUUCCUGGUGGAGCGGUGGAAUGCGCAGAUAUCAGGAGGAACACCAGUGGCGAAGGCGGUUCUCUGGGCCUUUCCUGACGCUGAGGAGCGAAAGCGUGGGGAGCGAACAGGCUUAGAUACCCUGGUAGUCCACGCUGUAAACGGUGGGUACUAGGUGUGGGGUCCAUUCCACGGGUUCCGUGCCGUAGCUAACGCUUUAAGUACCCCGCCUGGGGAGUACGGCCGCAAGGCUAAAACUCAAAGGAAUUGACGGGGCCCCGCACAAGCGGCGGAGCAUGCGGAUUAAUUCGAUGCAACGCGUAGAACCUUACCUGGGUUUGACAUGGAUCGGGAGUGCUCAGAGAUGGGUGUGCCUCUUUUGGGGUCGGUUCACAGGUGGUGCAUGCCUGUCGUCAGCUCGUGUCGUGAGAUGUUGGGUUAAGUCCCGCAACGAGCGCAACCCUUGUUCACUGUUGCCAGCACGUUAUGGUGGGGACUCAGUGGAGACCGCCGGGGUCAACUCGGAGGAAGGUGGGGAUGACGUCAAGUCAUCAUGCCCCUUAUGUCCAGGGCUUCACGCAUGCUACAAUGGCUGGUACAGAGAGUGGCGAGCCUGUGAGGGUGAGCGAAUCUCGGAAAGCCGGUCUCGGUUCGGAUUGGGGUCUGCAACUCGACCUCAUGAAGUCGGAGUCGCUAGUAAUCGCAGAUCAGCAACGCUGCGGUGAAUACGUUCCCGGGGCU
rnacentral:rRNA from 1 species